UACGAAGGGGACUAGCGUUAAUCGGAAUUACUGGGCGUAAAGGGUGCGUAGGCGGUUCGUUAAGUCUGUUGUGAAAUCCCCGGGCUCAACCUGGGAAUGGCAAUGGAUACUGGCGAGCUAGAGUGUGAUAGAGGAUGGUGGAAUUCCCGGUGUAGCGGUGAAAUGCGUAGAGAUCGGGAGGAACAUCAGUGGCGAAGGCGGCCAUCUGGAUCAACACUGACGCUGAAGCACGAAAGCGUGGGGAGCAAACAGG
rnacentral:rRNA from 1 species